GGCGGUGUAGCUCAGUUGGUAGAGCAUGCGACUCAUAUUCGCAGUGUCCGGGGUUCAACUCCCUGCACCGCCACCA
rnacentral:tRNA from 1 species